rnacentral:rRNA from 1 species
UACAGAGGGUGCGAGCGUUAAUCGGAAUUACUGGGCGUAAAGAGUGCGUAGGUGGUAAUGCAAGUCAGGUGUGAAAUCCCGGAGCUUAACUUCGGAAUUGCGCUUGAAACUGUGUUACUAGAGUUUUGGAGAGGAUAGUGGAAUUUCCGGAGUAGCGGUGAAAUGCGUAGAUAUCGGAAGGAACACCAGUGGCGAAGGCGACUAUCUGGCCAAAAACUGACACUGAGGCACGAAAGCGUGGGUAGCAAACAGG